rnacentral:rRNA from 1 species
GAAACCGGGGCUAAUACCGGAUGCUUGUUUGAACCGCAUGGUUCAAACAUAAAAGGUGGCUUCGGCUACCACUUACAGAUGGACCCGCGGCGCAUUAGCUAGUUGGUGAGGUAAUGGCUCACCAAGGCGACGAUGCGUAGCCGACCUGAGAGGGUGAUCGGCCACACUGGGACUGAGACACGGCCCAGACUCCUACGGGAGGCAGCAGUAGGGAAUCUUCCGCAAUGGACGAAAGUCUGACGGAGCAACGCCGCGUGAGUGAUGAAGGUUUUCGGAUCGUAAAGCUCUGUUGUUAGGGAAGAACAAGUACCGUUCGAAUAGGGCGGUACCUUGACGGUACCUAACCAGAAAGCCACGGCUAACUACGUGCCAGCAGCCGCGGUAAUACGUAGGUGGCAAGCGUUGUCCGGAAUUAUUGGGCGUAAAGGGCUCGCAGGCGGUUUCUUAAGUCUGAUGUGAAAGCCCCCGGCUCAACCGGGGAGGGUCAUUGGAAACUGGGGAACUUGAGUGCAGAAGAGGAGAGUGGAAUUCCACGUGUAGCGGUGAAAUGCGUAGAGAUGUGGAGGAACACCAGUGGCGAAGGCGACUCUCUGGUCUGUAACUGACGCUGAGGAGCGAAAGCGUGGGGAGCGAACAGGAUUAGAUACCCCUGGUAGUCCACGCCCGUUAAACGAUGAGUGCUAAGUG